UGCACACACGAAUCGGACAGACGCAUGCUGGGCUGGACCAGCACCAACACGCACGCGCACGCUCUCUCGCGAUCCCCUUCCUGGCGAUGCGUCUGUGCCGCCGUCUUCCGUCGCCCCGGCCGCUGCCGACCGUUUCCGCCGCCGCUGCUCGACCGUAAGACACUGGCUCUCUCUACCCUCACGAACCCUCAUGAUCGAUUCAUGUUUCUCUCCCUCUCGUUGCAUCUCGCCGACGGCUUUGACCUUGCUGCUAUGCCCCCGCCGCUACUGCUCCGGCCGACUCCGGCCUUCACCGGCGCCGCCCUGCCACGGCCCUCCUUCGAAUCGUCCCUCUCUAUUGGAUCCUCACAGCCAUGACGCCGUCUUGCAACUGCCCGCGCCCCCACGGCUGACCUAGCCUGGGCUCGCCGGCACGAUUCCCUGUCUCCUGCACCUGCGGCUGCUUCCCCGGCGGACCACGACUUCUUCAUCGCCUCCUACCACUUCUAUAACGAAACUCCCGAGCUCCUGCUUGGACGACCUCGCACUCUCCCUCGACUAUGGGUUCGGCUGCGCUUCAAGGGUGGAUGUGGUUGUGCUGCUGAGGAUGGUUCCGUGGCUCCUGAUGGUGCUGUUGCUACCCGACUUCAGUGUCCCAUUAUGGCACCCUCGGUGAGCUGAUCUCCUCUCUCCCUUGUCUAUCUAAAAUUGCUAGCGAUCUCCUGAGCAUCUGGGUAUAUGUAUGUGGAUUGAUUGGUAUACGGACUGUGGUACUGGUGUAACUACAAUUAGAUGAAUUUCUGACUCAUAGAUGCAGUAAUGCCUCGGUUUGGAUGGAUUUCUCAUCCCUGGCAUUUUGUGAGGUGCUACAAAAAUGAGUCAUGUCUUAACUCACUUAAUGGAUAACAAGUGCUAGGUUUACUGCUUCAGUUUGGAUGAUAUUCAUCCCUAGAAUGUGUGGUUUUUUAAUACUGCUAUGAAUUAACUCUGAUGAAACUGAACAUUCAGUUUCAGUUUAAUUCCGUUUUGAGAUUUUGUAAUUGCUCAGAUAUGUAUUCAAGGUUGGGGCUUAAAUUGAUUGCUGCUUUGCGGAAAUAUAUCUUUUUGGUGUCAAGCAUUAGUGGUUUGCCUAUAGAGACGAUGGGAUUAUUACUUGGUUAGCCUGGGAGUUUUUCCUAGACCCCAAGUAACUCUGAAACUUAUUAACUUUUAAUCUAGUGACUCCAAGUAAAUUGCUGUGAUACUUAUACUGUCGAAACUGAAUAUUAACAGUUCAGUUUGGUUUAGAUAUUUAUUUGUAGUCAUCUAUAUGUAUCCAAAUUCUGAUUUUAGCUUGCCGUGGUGGUUUGAUGCUCUAGUUCAUUCCGAGUUGGGUUUAAAUAGCAAGAUACAAAUUAGUGUUGCCUAUACAUUGAUGAUUUACUUGAUAUGGCUUUCUUUGUGAGCUUGUGUAGUUGUUUAUGGUGGCUUUGCUGCUAGAUCAAAAUAAUCCACUGAUCCACUGAUCACUAUUAUGUCCUGUAACAGAUAUAUGUUUGUGCUAUGCAAAGUGGGUGCUUGACCAUUUUCAGGACAUGGCUUACUUGUGGGCUUGAUGUAAUUGGAUGGUAUUGCAGUACGUGAUCUCUCUGAUUUCCACUGCAGUGCUAUUAGACUUUUUAAAAUAUGUAGAAAAUCGUCUAGGUUGAAAGAUAAUGCCUUUGGCUCUACCCAGGACUGAUGGUUCAUUAAACUGGAUUUAACUAGGUGUCUUUUAUAGUAAAAAAAUGAUCUGGUGCUAAUCUGAUCUACUUCUCUGCUAUGAGGUCUUGUUCAGUGGCUAAGCAUAGCAGAAAAGAUCUUGGCCUACAUAGACUUGGUGCUUUUUUUUUGUUUCUAUGCUAUUUAAGUUGCCAGUUUGCUUUGGUUUCGAACCAGAUGUUAAAAACAUCAUAAACGCCUCUGUGUGGUUUUGAAUUCUUAGCUGGAUUGGUUGCUCUGCAUGUGAUGCAAAGGAUGAGGCUUUGAUUUAUUUAAGAACGAAUGCUAUUGUGUGGCUUUCCAAACUCUGUGAUGAGUUUAGCAUAGCACUGCUAUGCAAGAUCUUAGAGAAUAAAUCCUUCUAAUCCUCCUAGGUUAGAACCUGGCCGAAGGGUGGAUGCAUCUGAUGCUUUGUAUUCUUCCCUUUGGUUUGCCUGAUAUGGCUAUGCAACUAAUAUGAGCAGAUGUUGGAUGAUCUAACUUAUGCUUCUGGUGGAUUUCUACCUGCUGCCCUCUGUAGCUUGUAGCCGGAUCUUCUGGAAUAUGAUAUAAACUGCAUCUUGUGGCAUGCCUUCUCCUCCUCGCUGCUUGUAUAUCUUAUCAGAUUUAUUUGUAGUUCUGUGGCUGUUCUGGUGGUUCUAGCUAGUGCAAGAAUUGAUGGAUGAUCUGUAAAUAUCAUACUGCUGGUGUCUGUGUGUGCGCAAGGAGGCUGCUGGGAUUGUUGGGGUGUUGUUUAUAUAAUGUGGAGUUGUUUGCUGUGGUGAUGACAACACAUAACUGCAUGUGUUGUGUGUGCUGCUUACAUAUGGACCCCACUUCUGGUGUAUGAGACCAAAUUGGUUUGCUUUGCCUUCUAGUGUAAGGCAUACGGCUGGUUUGCUGGUUUGCUCUUAUCCAUUGCAGACAUUUAUUUUGAUGCAGCCAAGUGGUACUUGAUUAAAUGUGGCUUUACUUUGUUUGGCAUUCGCAUGAAAAGAAAGAUCAAUAGAAGAUUGAGAAGAUUUAGAUUUAGGAAUUCUUUUAUUUCCUUGUAAUCUUAUAUUACUUUUGUAACUUGUAACUUUGUUUCUCUUUAUGAGAAUUGUAAAUGAUUGGGAUAAUGAUAUUUGUAAUAAGGUUUAAAUUAUUUAUCUAUUUUGUAUUCCUUUUU